UUGGGAUGGAUAGAAACAUGGUAGAGUUUUGGAAGCCUUUAGACAUAAAUUAACUGUGAAAAGCAGGAUCUCAGUCUCAUGGGCAAAGGAAGCUGAAACACUGAAUUGCUGGCAGAGGGCUCAGGACCAAACAAUAUUCCUGGAAAAUACUUCUGAGUCCUUCCCUCUUCUCCACCUGGCCUCCAGGGCAGACAGAAUUCUCUCCUUCUUCUCUAAAUAAAGCCAGUCAUGUGCAAGAAACUAGGAAGAAAACUAUGAGAAAUAUAGAUCUCACCCUACCCAUGAGGAGUCUGCAGU